CCUACGGGUGACAGCAGUGAGGAAUAUUGUUCAAUGGGCGGAAGCCUGAACCAGCCAAGUAGCGUGAAGGAAGACGGCCCUACGGGUUGUAAACUGCUUUUAUACGGGAAUAAAGCGCCUUACGUGUGGGGCUUUGCAUGUACCGUACGAAUAAGGACCGGCUAAUUCCGUGCCAGCAGCCGCGGUAAUACAGGGGAUGCGAGCGGUAUCCGGAUUUAUUGGGUUUAAAGGGUGCGUAGGCGGCGCUUCAGGUCAGCGGUGAAAUACCGGGGCGCAACCCCGGGGCUGCCGUUGAAACCGGAGCGCUAGAGUUCAGAUGCCGUCGGAGGAAUGUGUGGUGUAGCGGUGAAAUGCAUAGAUAUCACACAGAACACCGAUUGCGAAGGCAUCUGACGAAUCGGAGAUUGACGCUGAUGCACGAAAGCGUGGGUAUCGAACAGGAUUAGAUACCCUUGUAGUC
rnacentral:rRNA from 1 species